rnacentral:rRNA from 1 species
UGCAAGUCGAACGGGAAAUAUUUCAUUGAGACUUCGGUGGAUUUGAUCUAUUUCUAGUGGCGGACGGGUGAGUAACGCGUGGGUAACCUGCCUUAUACAGGGGGAUAACAGUCAGAAAUGGCUGCUAAUACCGCAUAAGCGCACAGGACCGCAUGGUCCGGUGUGAAAAACUCCGGUGGUAUAAGAUGGACCUGCGUUGGAUUAGCUUGUUGGUGGGGUAACGGCCCACCAAGGCGACGAUCCAUAGCCGGCCUGAGAGGGUGAACGGCCACAUUGGGACUGAGACACGGCCCAGACUCCUACGGGAGGCAGCAGUGGGGAAUAUUGCACAAUGGGGGAAACCCUGAUGCAGCGACGCCGCGUGAAGGAAGAAGUAUCUCGGUAUGUAAACUUCUAUCAGCAGGGAAGAUAGUGACGGUACCUGACUAAGAAGCCCCGGCUAACUACGUGCCAGCAGCCGCGGUAAUACGUAGGGGGCAAGCGUUAUCCGGAUUUACUGGGUGUAAAGGGAGCGUAGACGGUGUGGCAAGUCUGAUGUGAAAGGCAUGGGCUCAACCUGUGGACUGCAUUGGAAACUGUCAUACUUGAGUGCCGGAGGGGUAAGCGGAAUUCCUAGUGUAGCGGUGAAAUGCGUAGAUAUUAGGAGGAACACCAGUGGCGAAGGCGGCUUACUGGACGGUAACUGACGUUGAGGCUCGAAA